ensembl:snRNA U6 U6 spliceosomal RNA
GUGCUGGCUUCGACAGCAUGUUUACUUAAAUCAGAAUGAUACCAAGAAGAUUAGCAUGGCCCCAGCACAAGGAUGACAUGAAAAUUCUUGAAGCAUUCCAUAUUUUA